CUUGAACGCUGGCGGCCGGCCUCACACAUGCAAGUCGCACGAGUGGCGGACGGGUGAGUAAUGUCUGGGAAACUGCCCGAUGGAGGGGGAUAACUACUGGAAACGGUAGCUAAUACCGCAUACCAUCGGAUGUGCCCAGAUGGGCUUAGCUAGUAGGUGGGGUAACGCCUCCCCUAGGCGACGAUCCCUAGCUGGUCUGAGAGGAUGACCAGCCAAACUGAAACUGAGACACGGGCCGGGCUCCGACGGGAGGCAGCAGUGGGGAAUAUUGCACAAUGGGCGCAAGCCUGAUGCAGCCAGGCCGCGUGUAUGAAGCAGGCCUUCGGGUUGUAAAGUACUUUCAGCGAGGAGGCGUUGCUCGCAGAAGAAGCACCGGCUAACUCCGUGCCAGCAGCCGCGGUAAUUC
rnacentral:rRNA from 1 species